GACGAACGCUGGCGGCGUGCCUAAUACAUGCAAGUCGAACGCAGUGGGGACGGGUGAGUAACACGUGGGUAACCUCCCAUCAGAGGGGAUAACACUUGGAAACAGGUGCUAAACCGAUACUGAUGGAUGGACCCGCGGUGCAUUAGCUAGUUGGUGAGGUAACGGCUCACCAAGGCCACGAUGCAUAGGCCAACUUGAGGGGUGAACGGGCAAUCCGGGACUUGUACACGGCCCAAAAUCCUACGGGAGGCAACAGGAGGGAAACUUGGGGAAUGGACGAAAGUCUUAACGGGCAACGGCGGGGUAGUGAAGAAGGGUUUCGGAUUGGAAAACUCUGUUGGUAGGGAAGCGGUAUCUAACCAGAAAGCCACGGCUAACUACGUGCCAGCCGCCGCGGUAAUUC
rnacentral:rRNA from 1 species